rnacentral:lncRNA from 1 species
UCCAGGCCGGCGGUGCUGGGGGGACACUCUCCAGGCUCAGGCGGCCUGGAGAGCAGGCGAUGCUUUCUGAGACUGAGAGUCUGGGUCCUGCCUCAGCUUCCUAGCACCUGGGGGAGGAUGAGGAAGCCAAUGGUGGCCUCCCUGAAUGGCUGGCUCCCACUCCCUGCCCCUCUGGCUCCCCCUGGGAGAAGAAGUGGGAUUCUGGGCCUCACUGGCCUGGCCAGAAAGCCACGGGAAGCCCCAGUGACCAGUGGGGGCAGGGCCAGGACCCUCCCGUGCCACCCCACGUAGACUGCACUCCUGGGACCUCCCAAGCUCUCAGCCUGUCUGCAGGGGGACUCCUGGGGGUAGAGGAGACCCUGGGGCUUGGCUCCCUCAGAGGGACAAGGGGGAAGGAGUCCUUGUCCCUGCCCAGAGAGCAAAGGACACCAGCCCAGCCCCUGGGUCCAGAGAAAACUCACGAAGGCCAUCCCGAACCACCUCCACAUGGCCCUCAGGACUCAGGGAAGUCACCAGCCACCCCCACUGGGCUCAGGAGGAGCGGGCCACAACCCACGGAUGGCAGCACCACCCUGCUGACCUGGACUGGGCGUGGGGUCAGACAGGAGGCCCCAGCCCCAGCCCACCUGCUCCUGCAGCUCCUUCCCCAUCUCCCCAGC